GCCGCGGUAGCUCAGUCGGCCAGAGCAGUCGAUUUGUAAUCGACAGGUCGGGGGUUCGACUCCCCCCCGCGGCU
rnacentral:tRNA from 1 species